rnacentral:rRNA from 1 species
CGAGUUUGAUCCUGGCUCAGAACGAACGCUGGCGGCAGGCUUAAUACAUGCAAGUCGAACGGCUGUAGCAAUACAGCAGUGGCAGACGGGUGAGUAACACGUGGGAACCUACCUAGGGGUACGGAAUAACUCAGGGAAACUUGUGCUAAUACCGUAUACGACCUCAGGGUGAAAGAUUUAUCGCCCCUAGAUGGGCCCGCGCUGGAUUAGCUAGUUGGUGGGGUAAAAGCCUACCAAGGCGACGAUCCAUAGCUGGUCUGAGAGGAUGAUCAGCCACACUGGGACUGAGACACGGCCCAGACUCCUACGGGAGGCAGCAGUAGGGAAUCUUGGACAAUGGGCGAAAGCCUGAUCCAGCCAUGCCGCGUGAGUGAUGAAGGCCUUAGGGUUGUAAAGCUCUUUCGCCAGGGAAGAUAAUGACGGUACCUGGAUAAGAAGCCCCGGCUAACUUCGUGCCAGCAGCCGCGGUAAUACGAAGGGGGCUAGCGUUGUUCGGAAUUACUGGGCGUAAAGCGCACGUAGGCGGCAUUCCAAGUUGGAGGUGAAAUCCCCGGGGCUUACC